ACACUUCUAAUUUUCCAUUGCUGCAUCGGUGACACAGUUUGAGCAGACUACUGUACACCCACUUCAUGAUUACAGACUGCAUGGAGGACUUCCUAGGACAGCACAGCACGUGUCCUAACAAAUGUCACUGCACCUACAAGUGCUUACCAGCAGCAGUAACAGGUACAUGGUGGCACUCUGUGACAUUUCAGGAGAAGCUGAGUGAUAGCUUUGAGCAUGGAUGUGUGGCUUUUUCCUUUAGUAUACACAGCAGUCUCAGCUGAUUCCCAUUGGAUCUCAGAAGGGAGCCAGCUGCCAGUUUUCACUAUUACCUGCAGGGCUCAGCAUUCAUCACUGGAGACAUGGAGAAUACAUGCUGCUGGUCCAGCCUGGUCACCAGCAGCCCCAACCACAAGGGCAUCACUUUGUUUUAAUGUCACAUCCCUCCAGCGACAGAGCAAUGAGAGCAGUAAGGGGAGGCAUCACCCAGCUCAGCUCACCUUUCCAUGGAAGUCUGACACUGACACCUGAUUCAUUCAUUGUCCUGAUCGUUCGUGGGACCAAAGCCAACCAGAUUUUCUGUCUCUUUCCACGAGGUGCAGCUCUACUCAACGGAGCAUGUCCUUUCCCAGGCCUCCAAGAUUAACUUAGUUAGCUGCAGGCUAGUUUUGAGACAUGGGAAAAGUCAAUAUCAAGCAGCGGGGUUUCCACCUCUUGGCAAUCCAUGAAAGCAGUGUACAAUACACUGUACUCCUCUCCCUCACUACGUCCAUGGCCGUUAGACUAUUUUUACUAUCUGGUUCCAAGAACAAAUAGACAUAAAUGUAGUUCUAGGAACUAUAGAGCACAACAACCAAGGGGAUCUGUACUCAUCACUAGCACAGCAGCUGAAAUAGCAGAGAAAGACAGGGACACGGGAAGAAAUGGGAAAGCCCAAGUGAGAAAGAAAAAGCAAAGCAUGAAGGGAAAUGCAAAAUUGGAGUAAAGAGGCACACACAGGAGAGGGAGAGAGCAUUGACCACAACUGAGACAGUCCAUGUUUAUGGGCCAUAUUUAUAUUUAUUUUUGAGCAUGUAUAAGCAAAAAAGUUAGGGCAGAGCAGGAAGACAUUCUCUACCUUACAGCCAAAGACCAUCCUCACAUCCUGCUGCCUCAGGGCAGAGAGUGGGAGUUCAGGUACCAAGGGCUGUUGAGAAACAGUACGCUCCAAGGCCUGGAUGGCUGGCUGCACCACAGCAGCUGUAUGCUCCACCUGUCAUCUUCUGGAGAGCAUGAAGUGCUAGGCAUCCAGAUGCCCCUCUGAUAGGGAGGGUUUGUGCCUCACUGACCUUAAUGCUACUCAGGAAACAGCAAACACCUGCAUGUCUCUAAGCACUGGAGACUAGUAGAGAGGCUGCACUACCUUCCUGUUCAGGUAAGUAUGCUGUAAUUUCAGAGUAUGCUUGUCAGAACCCUUGCUAAUAACUUUAAAUAACUGAGCUUUUUGGUCACAAGAUAAGGAAGUCUGAGUUGAACAACGGCUACUUCAUACAGUGCAACAAGCAAGGAUAUUUCUAGAGAUAAGAAUGAAAGCCCCCCCCCCCCCCCCAAAAAAAGAAGAAAAUGUACUGCUGUUAUCAGGCAGCUGUGAAUCACUAGUUGCCUUCUCUCUCAGGCUAUACUUGCCUCAAAUCCUGCCUGGAAAACUUGGAGAAAUGAGGUCAGUUUUGCUUGUGGGUUUUUGUUGUUGUUGUUGUUGUUGUUGUUGUGGUUGCAUUUGGUUGGUUGAUUCAUUUGGUUGUUGGUUUUUUGGAUGUGAACCCAUAAUUCUUCAAUGCCUUCCUCUAAUCUCCAUGUUGUUGUUUUUGGAAGCUCACAGUGCUAACAGUCUAUUUAUAGUUGACUACUUUUGUAGUUUAUCUCUGCUAUAACACUGUGUCCUUUGUUCUCACUUCAAAAUACAAACCAGAAGGAGUUCUGUACGUCUGGGUUCUCACCUUCUAUUUGAUGAACAUGCUUGAUCAAUAGGAAGAAGGAGAAAGCCACUUCCAUCUGGCUGCUUAACUGGGCAUACACCCUCAUUGUUCGUGCUCCAUCACCUAGCACACUACUCAAAAUCAGCAUUUUGGUACAUAUGAACCUACCAUAGGAUAUUUUAAUUACUUUCAGUUGUUUUAAUGCUUAUUUGCUUUGAAAUGUCAUUACGCUUAGUACAUUAAAUUAUUAUAUUUCACCUUCUUUGGUUAAUGUUCCUGAGCAUACUUAAGAAUAAUAAUAAAAAAGCACAAAUGUGUACAUA